rnacentral:rRNA from 1 species
GACGAACCGUGCGAACGUUGUUCGGAAUCACUGGGCUUAAAGGGCGCGUAGGCGGGCCAUAAAGUCAGGGGUGAAAUCCUCCAGCUUAACUGGAGAACUGCCUUUGAUACUGAUGGUCUCGAGUAAGGUAGGGGCAUGCGGAACUGAUGGUGGAGCGGUGAAAUGCGUUGAUAUCAUCAGGAACUCCGGUGGCGAAGGCGGCAUGCUGGACCUUCACUGACGCUGAGGCGCGAAAGCUAGGGGAGCGAACGGG